UUUAAAUAAGUAAGAGUAUAUAGUGGAUGCCUUGG
rnacentral:rRNA from 1 species